GACGAACGCUGGCGGCGUGCUUAACACAUGCAAGUCGAACGAGAGCGUAGAGAAAGCUUGCUUUUUCUACAAUCUAGUGGCAAACGGGUGAGUAACGCGUAAACAACCUGCCCUACGGAUGGGGACAACAGCUGGAAACGGCUGCUAAUACCGAAUACGUUCCGAAAGUCGCAUGACUAUCGGAAGAAAGGAUGGCCUCUAUUUAUAAGCUAUCGCCGGAGGAGGGGUUUGCGUCUGAUUAGCUAGUUGGAGGGGUAACGGCCCACCAAGGCGACGAUCAGUAGCCGGUCUGAGAGGAUGAACGGCCACAUUGGAACUGAGACACGGUCCAGACUCCUACGGGAGGCAGCAGUGGGGAAUCUUCCGCAAUGGGCGAAAGCCUGACGGAGCAACGCCGCGUGAGUGAAGACGGCCUUCGGGUUGUAAAGCUCUGUUAUACGGGACGAAUAAUCUUGUGGUUAAUACCCAUGAGAAGUGACGGUACCGUAAGAGAAAGCCACGGCUAACUACGUGC
rnacentral:rRNA from 1 species